rnacentral:rRNA from 1 species
GACGAACCGAGCGAACGUUGUUCGGAAUCACUGGGCUUAAAGGGUGCGUAGGCGGGCUGCCAAGUUUGGGGUGAAAUCUCCGGGCUUAACUCGGAAAGGUCAACUGAUACUGUGCGACUAGAGUGCGGAAGGGGCAACUGGAAUUCUCGGUGUAGCGGUGAAAUGCGUAGAUAUCGAGAGGAACACCUGCGGCGAAGGCGGGUUGCUGGGCCGACACUGACGCUGAUGCGCGAAAGCCAGGGAGCGAACGGG